rnacentral:rRNA from 1 species
ACGUAGGUGGCAAGCGUUGUCCGGAUUUACUGGGCGUAAAGAGCGCGCAGGCGGUCGAGUAAGUCGAAUGUGAAAGCCCCGGGCUCAACCUGGGAAUGGCAUUUGGGACUGCAAGGCUUGAGUGCGGCAGAGGAGACUGGAAUUCCUGGUGUAGCAGUGAAAUGCGUAGAUAUCAGGAGGAAUACCGAUGGCGAAGGCAGGUCUCUGGGCUGACACUGACGCUCAUGCACGAAAGCGUGGGGAGCAAACAGGA